CUUAUCAGAGGCAAUGUUUUUUUUUCCCCCUCUGGCUGUUUCUUUUACAGUCUUGACAUUUUGGAAGGGAACUUCAAGACCAUGUGAUUUAAGAGGAGAAAAAAUGAAGAUAGCCCAUGUGCCUGGAGGGCCAGCUGGCCGUGGGGAAGGCACAUAGCUAUUAUUUGGUAGCCUCUGGGCAAACACUGCGGAAAAGUUGACUAGUAAUUACUCCAGUAAAGCCAAAGUCUAGAAUCAUGAGAACUCUCAGAUUCACAGCACUGGGGAUUAUCCUGUCCUGUCUCUCCAGUAUUUGCUUUUAUAUGGGUUCAGGGGACCACAAUUUGAUCUUUCAGCUUAAGGCAAGCCCUCUACUGACAGAAGCAGAGCUGCGUUUUGAUAUUGCUUCAUCUCUGGAAUAAGAG